CGCAUGCGCAGUUUGCAGUGGGGUUCGCGCUCCUGUGAGGCUCUGAUGCCGCUCACCUGACGUGGGCCCAGGGCUCCCGACGCCGUGGGGACAUGCUUGCGCUAGCCUGCAGGUCCCAGGAGGAAGAUGAGAGGCAGAGAGUUGAGCCACCCAGCCGAGCAUCGCCAGCCAAGCCCAGACCAGAUCAGCUGUUCUCCAGGUGACCCACGGACACAUGAGCGAGUCCAGGAAAGAUCUGCAGAGUUGCUUAGCCUAGGUCAGCCAACCUGCAGAUACCUGAGAAAUUACAAGGGAUUCCUGUUUCAAGCCACUGAAUAUGGAGGCAGUUUAUUAUAUAGCAGUAGUACUUUUUCCCAUCAUAGAAAUUAUAAACCUUAUUAAAAUCCUUGGAUUACUUCUCUUUUGAGGAUUGUAUAUUCUGAUACAAUUUAAACUGUGCCUAUCUUGCUGCCUAUAUUAUUUCAAGUUUUAGCACAGUGUGUUGGUACACAAUGGAUACCUAUUAAAUAAGUAAUUGUUGAAUGAA